CCUACGGGUGGCAGCAGUGGGGAAUAUUGGGCAAUGGGCGCAAGCCUGACCCAGCAACGCCGCGUGAAGGAAGAAGGCUUUCGGGUUGUAAACUUCUUUUAUCAGGGACGAAGCAAGUGACGGUACCUGAUGAAUAAGCCACGGCUAACUACGGGCCAGCCGCCGCGUUAAUACGUAGGGGGCAAGCGUUAUCCGGAUGUACUGGGUGUAAGGGGCGUGUAGGCGGGAGGGCAAGUCAGCUGUGAAAACUAUGGGCUCAACCCAUAGCCUGCAGUUGAAACUGUACUUCUUGAGUGCUGGAGAGGUAAUCGGAAUUCCGGGUGUAGCGGUGAAAUGCGUAGAUAUAGGGAGGAACACCAGUGGCGAAGGCGGAUUGCUGGACAGUAACUGACGCUGAGGCGCGAAAGCGUGGGGAGCAAACAGGAUUAGAUACCCGAGUAGUC
rnacentral:rRNA from 1 species